ACAAUGGGCGCAAGCCUGAUGGAGCAACACCGCGUGAGUGAAGAAGGGUUUCGGCUCGUAAAGCUCUGUUGUUAAAGAAGAACACGUAUGAGAGUAACUGUUCAUACGUUGACGGUAUUUAACCAGAAAGUCACGGCUAACUACGUGCCAGCAGCCGCGGUAAUACGUAGGUGGCAAGCGUUAUCCGGAUUUAUUGGGCGUAAAGAGAGUGCAGGCGGUUUUCUAAGUCUGAUGUGAAAGCCUUCGGCUUAACCGGAGAAGUGCAUCGGAAACUGGAUAACUUGAGUGCAGAAGAGGGUAGUGGAACUCCAUGUGUAGCGGUGGAAUGCGUGGAUAUAUGGAAGAACACCAGUGGCGAAGGCGGCUACCUGGUCUGCAACUGACGCUGAGACUCGAAAGCAUGGGUAGCGAACAGGAUUAGAUACCCUGGUAG
rnacentral:rRNA from 1 species